GAUUCAAACUUCAUAAGCUACUCAAUUAGCAGGUAAUAAUGUCUUUUACCUUAACAACAUAGUCAAUCCUUUCAUCACUCAAGUUGCAUUUUCACUACUUUUCUGUUGAUAUGUUAUGUUAAGAUAAAUCGUUGUUUCUUAAGUUUCAGGUAUCUAAGGUGUCAUAUGGAUGAACUGGUCGGCUCUGGUCCAAGAAACUGCUUGUUGUUCUCUUUUAUUCACAUUUUGCUUUGAGAAAAGAGUAUUGUUGUGGAAUUUGUCCAAGUUUCCAUUGAUAAUUUGUAUUAAUAUUUAGUUUCCGUCAUUGCAUUAUAAGCUACUUUAUUUUCAUCAAAUCAGAUUUUAAAUAACAAUGUUGGAUUUUGACUCUACAUCUUUUUGCAUCGGUAAUGCUACUGAAAUUGAUAAUCUCGUUCUAUAGUA
rnacentral:lncRNA from 1 species